rnacentral:rRNA from 2 species
CGUUGAUAGGCCGGGUGUGGAAGUGCGGCAACGCAUGAAGCUUACCGGUACUAAUAGCUCGAUCGGCUUGAUCGU